CUGACGAGUGGCGGACGGGUGAGUAAUGCUUGGGAAUCUGGCUUAUGGAGGGGGAUAACUACGGGAAACUGUAGCUAAUACCGCGUAAAAUCUUCGGAUUAAAGGGUGGGACUUUCGAGCCACCUGCCAUAAGAUGAGCCCAAGUGGGAUUAGGUAGUUGGUUAGGUAAAGGCUGACCAAGCCGACGAUCUCUAGUUGGUCUGAGGGGAUGACCAGCCACACUGGAACUGAGACACGGUCCAG
rnacentral:rRNA from 1 species